rnacentral:misc_RNA from 1 species
GAUGAAGAACGUAGCGAAAUGCGAUAAGUAAUGUGAAUUGCAGAAUUCAGUGAAUCAUCGAAUCUUUGAACGCACAUUGCGCCCGUCAGUAUUCUGGCGGGCAUGCCUGUUCGAGCGUCAUUACGCCCCUCAAGUCCCCUGUGGACUUGGUGUUGGGGAUCGGCGAGGCUGGUUUUCCAGCACAGCCGUCCCUUAAAUUAAUUGGCGGUCUCGCCGUGGCCCUCCUCUGCGCAGUAGUAAAACACUCGCAACAGGAGCCCGGCGCGGUCCACUGCCGUAAAACCCCCCAACUUUCCAAGGUUGACCUCAGAUCAGGUAGGAAUACCCGCUGAACUUAAGCAUAUCAAUAAGCGGAGGA